rnacentral:rRNA from 1 species
GACGAACGCUGGCGGCGUGCCUAAUACAUGCAAGAAGAACGCUGAAGCUUGGUGCUUGCACCGAGCGGAUGAGUUGCGAACGGGUAAGUAACGCGUAGGUAACCUGCCUGGUAGCGGGGGAUAACUAUUGGAAACGAUAGCUAAUACCGCAUAAAAUGGAUUAUCGCAUGAUAAUCGAUUGAAAGGUGCAAAUGCAUCACUACCAGAUGGACCUGCGUUGUAUUAGCUAGUUGGUGGGGUAACGGCUCACCAAGGCGACGAUACAUAGCCGACCUGAGUGGGUGAUCGGCCACGCUGGGACUGAGACACGGCCCAGACUCCUACGGGAGGCAGCAGUAGGGAAUCUUCGGCAAUGGACGGAAGUCUGACCGAGCAACGCCGCGUGAAUGAAGAAGGUUUUCGGAUCGUAAAGCUCUGUUGUAAGAGAAGAAACGAGUGUGAGAAGUGGAAAG